CUUGUACUCCCUCCGUUCCGAAUUACUUGUCUUGGAUUUGUCUAGAUACGGAGGUAUCUAGCACUAAAAUGAGUCUAGAUACAUCCGUAUCUAGACAAAUCCAAGACAAGUAAUUCGGAACGGAGGGAGUAUUAC
rnacentral:pre_miRNA from 1 species